GACGAACGCUGGCGGCGUGCCUAACACAUGCAAGUCGAGCGAGAAUCUGUAAAUUGAUUCCUUCGGGAUGAUUUUUACAGAGGAAAGCGGCGGACGGGUGAGUAACGCGUGAGUAACCUGCCCUUCAGAGGGGGACAACAGUUAGAAAUGACUGCUAAUACCGCAUAACAUGUUUUUAUCGCAUGGUAGAGACAUCAAAGAUUUAUCGCUGAAGGAUGGACUCGCGUCUGAUUAGAUAGUUGGUGAGGUAACGGCUCACCAAGUCGACGAUGGGUAGCCGACUUGAGAGAGUGAUCGGCCACACUGGAACUGAGACACGGUCCAG
rnacentral:rRNA from 1 species